rnacentral:tRNA from 4 species
AAAAUCCGUCGACUUUAGAAAUCGUGAGGGUUC